rnacentral:rRNA from 1 species
UAAGCGUACACGGUGGAUGCCUAGGCAGUCAGAGGCGAUGAAGGACGUGCUAAUCUGCGAAAAGCGUCGGUAAGCUGAUAUGAAGCGAUAUAGCCGGCGAUGUCCGAAUGGGGAAACCCAGUGCAAUGCGUUGCACUAUCAUUAACUGAAUUCAUAGGUUAAUGAGGCGAACCGGGGGAACUGAAACAUCUCAGUACCCCGAGGAAAAGAAAUCAACCGAGAUUCCCCCAGUAGCGGCGAGCGAACGGGGAGGAGCCCAGAACCUGCAUCAGCGAUAGCAUCAGAGGAACGGUCUGGAAAGGCCGGCGAGAGAGGGUGACAGCCCCGUACUCGAAGRUGGUAUGGCUGUGAGUUCGAUGAGUAAGGCGGGACACGAGAAAUCCUGUCUGAAGAUGGGGGGACCAUCCUCCAAGGCUAAAUACUCCUGACUGACCGAUAGUGAACCAGUACCGUGAGGGAAAGGCGAAAAGAACCCCGGCGAGGGGAGUGAAAGAGAACCUGAAACCGUGUACGUACAAGCAGUGGGAGCCCCACCACCAAAGCGUUUCGCUUUGCGUGGUGCACAAAAUGCGUAACAGCAGCACUGAUGACGGUUGGCGGAGCGGCAGCGACGCCCAACACACCAAUCAAGCAGUGGAGCGUUUUGGGGUGGGGUGACUGCGUACCUUUUGUAUAAUGGGUCAGCGACUUAUAUUCUGUAGCAAGGUUAACCGGAUAGGGGAGCCGCAGGGAAACCGAGUCUUAACUGGGCGAAAGAGUUGCAGGGUAUAGACCCGAAACCCGGUGAGCUAGCCAUGGGCAGGUUGAAGGUUGGGUAACACUAACUGGAGGACCGAACCGACUAAUGUUGAAAAAUUAGCGGAUGACCUGUGGCUGGGGGUGAAAGGCCAAUCAAACCGGGAGAUAGCUGGUUCUCCCCGAAAGCUAUUUAGGUAGCGCCUCGUGAAUUCAUCUUCGGGGGUAGAGCACUGUUUCGGCUAGGGGRCCAUCCCGGCUUACCAACCCGAUGCAAACUGCGAAUACCGAWGAAUGGYAUCACGGGAGACACACGGCGGGUGYUAACGUCCGUCGUGAAGAGGGAAACAACCCAGACCGCCAGCUAAGGUCCCGAAGUCAUGGUUAAGUGGGAAACGAUGUGGGAAGGCCCAGACAGCCAKGAUGUUGGCUUAGAAGCAGCCAUCAUUGAAAGAAAGCGUAAUAGCUCACUGGUCGAGUCGGCCUGCGCGGAAGAUGUAACGGGGCUAAACCAUGCACCGAAGCUGCGGCAGUGACACRCAAGUGUUAUUGGGUAGGGGAGCGUUCUGUAAGCCGGAGAAGGUGGCGCUGUGAGGCCUGCUGGAGGUAUCAGAAGUGCGAAUGCUGACAUAAGUAACGAUAAAGCGGGUGAAAAACCCGCUCGCCGGAAGACCAAGGGUUCCUGUCCAACGUUAAUCGGGGCAGGGUGAGUCGACCCCUAAGGUGAGGCCGAGAGGCGUAGCUGAUGGGAAACAGGUUAAUAUUCCUGUACUGAAUGUGACUGCGAAGGGGG